GACGAACCGAGCGAACGUUGUUCGGAAUCACUGGGCUUAAAGGGCGCGUAGGCGGAUCAGCAAGUCCGGGGUGAAAUCUUUCGGCUCAACCGGAAAAGGGCCUUGGAUACCGCUGGUCUGGAGGGAGGUAGGGGCAGCUGGAACUUCCGGUGGAGCGGUGAAAUGCGUUGAUAUCGGAAGGAACUCCGGUGGCGAAGGCGAGCUGCUGGACCUCUUCUGACGCUGAGGCGCGAAAGCUAGGGGAGCAAACGGG
rnacentral:rRNA from 1 species